rnacentral:rRNA from 1 species
UACGAAGGGGGGCUAGCGUUGCUCGGAAUCACUGGGCGUAAAGGGUGCGUAGGCGGGUCUUUUAAGUCAGGGGGUGAAAUCCUGGAGCUCAACUCCAGAACUGCCUUUGAUACUGAGGAUCUUGAGUUCGGGAGAGGUGAGUGGAACUGCGAGUGUAGAGGUGAAAAUUCGUAGAUAUUCGCAAGAACACCAGUGGCGAAGGCGGCUCACUGGCCCGAUACUGACGCUGAGGCACGAAAGCGUGGGGAGCAAAC